rnacentral:lncRNA from 1 species
CCUGACCAAAACUUACCCAUAAUACAGCAAGCAGUCCCAUCUUAAUUGCUUCACAUAUGAUCAUACUAUCCCCCAAUAUCCACUAUUUGCUAAAACUUUUCAAUUACUCCCAUGCAUUGCCACCUAACAAUAUCAGUGCCGAAAAAGUUAUGUCUGCAUAAGACCACUUGACUUUGUACCAUCACCAAGACAUUCAUACUUACACAAAAUGGAAAUUCUUAGCACCCUAACCUUCCAUUAAAAACUCGUGAAAGGCCUUAUGAAUGUCCCCCACUGCAAAAACAUAUUUGGACAUAUACCUGACACCUAUUGCAGCAAUAACAGUAGCCUUCCCCGAAACUUUGCUCACACAUAAUAAUCCGAAUCUGAUAGCCUCCAGUCCUGCUGCUAUAAACAUCUGAUAUAUAAAACAGACAUACAUUCACUCCAUAACAGCAUGUCCCGCAUAACUACAUUCAUA